AACCAGGGAUGGGAAUCGAAUCCACAGUGUUCCGCUUACCGGGCAGAUGCCAUGUCCACUAGGCUACCCUGGA